rnacentral:misc_RNA from 1 species
AUGAUUUGGCGAACCUAACGUUAGUUAGGUUUUGCGAUCACUUAUUUAAAACCCAACUCUUAAAUGUAUAAAUUAUAUUUCUUGAAUAAAAAAAAUAAAGA